GAUGAACGCUGGCUACAGGCUUAACACAUGCAAGUCGAGGGGAAACGACGGGGAAGCUUGCUUCCCCGGGCGUCGACCGGCGCACGGGUGAGUAACGCAUAUCCAACCUGCCUCUGACUGAGGGAUAACCCGUCGAAAGUCGGCCUAAUACCUCAUGGCAUCGUCUGCGGGCAUCCAACGACGAUUAAAGAUUUCAUCGGCCAGGGAUGGGGAUGCGUCUGAUUAGCUUGUUGGCGGGGUAACGGCCCACCAAGGCUACGAUCAGUAGGGGUCCUGAGAGGAAGGUCCCCCACAUUGGAACUGAGACACGGUCCAAACUCCUACGGGAGGCAGCAGUGAGGAAUAUUGGUCAAUGGGCGAGAGCCUGAACCAGCCAAGUAGCGUGCAGGAAGACGGCCCUAUGGGUUGUAAACUGCUUUUAUGCGGGGAUAAAGUGAGGGACGUGUCCUUCAUUGCAGGUACCGCAUGAAUAAGGACCGGCUAAUUCCGUGCCAGCAGCCGCGGUAAUACGGAAGGUCCGGGCGUUAUCCGGAUUUAUUGGGUUUAAAGGGAGCGUAGGCCGUGGAUUAAGCGUGUUGUGAAAUGCAGGUGCUCAACGUCUGCACUGCAGCGCGAACUGGUCCACUAGAGUGUGCGCAACGCAGGCGGAAUUCGUCGUGUAGCGGUGAAAUGCUUAGAUAUGACGAAGAACUCCGAUUGCGAAGGCAGCUUGCGGGAGCACAACUGACGCUGAAGCUCGAAAGUGCGGGUAUCGAACAGG
rnacentral:rRNA from 1 species